rnacentral:tRNA from 1 species
UCCUUUGUGGUAUAACGGUAGCACACUCGGCUCGUAUUCGAGAGGUCAAGGUUCAAGUCCCGGCGAGGGCA